GAUGAACGCUGGCGGCGUGCUUAACACAUGCAAGUCGAACGAAGCACUUUAUUUGAUUUCCUUCGGGACUGAUUAUUUUGUGACUGAGUGGCGGACGGGUGAGUAACGCGUGGGUAACCUGCCUUGUACAGGGGGAUAACAGUUGGAAACGGCUGCUAAUACCGCAUAAGCGCACGGCAUCGCAUGAUGCAGUGUGAAAAACUCCGGUGGUAUAAGAUGGACCCGCGUUGGAUUAGCUAGUUGGUGAGGUAACGGCCCACCAAGGCGACGAUCCAUAGCCGACCUGAGAGGGUGACCGGCCACAGUGGGACUGAGACACGGCCCAAACUCCUACGGGAGGCAGCAGUGGGGAAUAUUGCACAAUGGGCGAAAGCCUGAUGCAGCGACGCCGCGUGAGCGAAGAAGUAUUUCGGUAUGUAAAGCUCUAUCAGCAGGGAAGAUAAUGACGGUACCUGACUAAGAAGCACCGGCUAAAUACGUG
rnacentral:rRNA from 1 species